AAGAAAGAAAAACUCAACCAGCAGGCAGGAAGCAGAGAGAUUCAGAGGGGCCAGGCUCCUCUUUUCCCUUCCAGAAGCCCAAGCAUCCAGGAAAAAGGGAAGGGGCAGGCAGGAGAAACCCAGAGGACCCAUCUGCUGAAAAGACAUUGAGCUUUGGACUGGGCAGUACCUUCAUCUGGCCAAAAGGAACCACUGGAUCACAGUCCCCUCUUGCUGUUGGCUGCACAUCGGGAAGGGCUAUGAUGGGAAUGAAGGUGAAAACUUGGAGAUUUCACUUCAGUCAUUGCUUCUGCCUGC
rnacentral:sRNA from 1 species